RGAGUUUGAUCCUGGCUCAGAACGAACGCUGGCGGSGUGCCUAACACAUGCAAGUCGAACGUGAUCCAGAGCUUGCUCUGGUGAAAGUGGCSCACGGGUGAGUAACGCGUGGAUAACCUACCCUGGUAUCCGGGAUAACAUUCCGAAAGGGGKGCUAAUACCGGAUAAGCCCACGGGCUCUUUGGAGCUUGCGGGAAAAGGUGGCCUCUAUUUAUAAGCUACUGUAUCAGGAUGGGUCCGCGUACCAUUAGCUAGUUGGCGGUGUAACGGACCACCAAGGCGACGAUGGUUAGCUGGUCUGAGAGGAUGAUCAGCCACACUGGAACUGAGACACGGUCCAGACUCCUACGGGAGGCAGCAGUGGGGAAUUUUGCGCAAUGGGGGAAACCCUGACGCAGCAACGCCGCGUGAGUGAUGAAGGCCUUUGGGUCGUAAAGCUCUGUCAGAGGGGAAGAAAUGAUAUAGUGCUAAUACCACUUUAUCUUGACGGUACCCUCAAAGGAAGCACCGGCUAACUCCGUGCCAGCAGCCGCGGAAUAC
rnacentral:rRNA from 1 species